UACGUAGGGGGCUAGCGUUGUCCGGAAUCAUUGGGCGUAAAGAGCGUGUAGGCGGUCCGGUAAGUCCGCUGUGAAAGUCGGGGGCUCAACCCUCGAAUGCCGGUGGAUACUGUCGGGCUAGAGUGCGGAAGAGGCGAGUGGAAUUCCUGGUGUAGCGGUGAAAUGCGCAGAUAUCAGGAGGAACACCAAUGGCGAAGGCAGCUCGCUGGAACGGUACUGACGCUGAGGCGCGAAAGCGUGGGGAGCAAACAGG
rnacentral:rRNA from 1 species